GCUGGGUGCGGUGGUGCGUGCCUGUAGUCCCAGCUACUCAGGAGACUGAGAUGGGAGAAUCACUUGAUCCCAGGAGCUCUGGGCUGUAGUGCGCUAUGCCGACUGGGUGUCCGCACUAAGUUCGGCAUCAAUAUGGUGACCUCCUGGGAGCGGGGGACCACCAGGUUGCCUAAGGAGGGGUGAACCGGCCCAGGUCAGAAACAGAGAAGGUCAAGACUCCCAUGCUGAUCAGUAGUGGGAUUGUGCCUGUGAAUAGCCACUGCACUCCAGCCUGGGCAACAUAGCAAGACCCAGUCUCU
rnacentral:SRP_RNA from 1 species